rnacentral:rRNA from 1 species
CAGUAGCCGCGGGAAUACAGAGGGUGCGAGCGUUAAUCGGAUUUACUGGGCGUAAAGCGUGCGUAGGCGGCUUCUUAAGUCGGAUGUGAAAUCCCUGAGCUUAACUUAGGAAUUGCAUUCGAUACUGGGAAGCUAGAGUAUGGGAGAGGAUGGUAGAAUUCCAGGUGUAGCGGUGAAAUGCGUAGAGAUCUGGAGGAAUACCGAUGGCGAAGGCAGCCAUCUGGCCUAAUACUGACGCUGAGGUACGAAAGCAUGGGGAGCAAACAGGAUUAGAUACCCCGGUAGUCCAUGUCUCUUAUAC